rnacentral:rRNA from 1 species
UACGGGGGGGGCAAGCGUUGCUCGGAAUUACUGGGCGUAAAGGGCUCGUAGGCGGCCAACUAAGUCAGACGUGAAAUCCCUCGGCUUAACCGGGGAACUGCGUCUGAUACUGGAUGGCUUGAGUUUGGGAGAGGGAUGCGGAAUUCCAGGUGUAGCGGUGAAAUGCGCAGAUAUCAGGAGGAACACCGGUGGCGAAGGCGGUGGUCUGGGCCGGCACUGACGCUGAGGAGCGAAAGCGUGGGUAGCAAACAGG